CUGGCAGGCACAGUGUUAUGUGUAGACUGGAUUGAAUCAAAGCAGCAUUCUCCUACUUUCCCUAUGUAUAGGAAGUGAUCCUAACAAGAAUCAGAUUUUUCCUGGACCCAUAACAGAGGAAACAACUUCUGGCACAGUAAUUCUUUGAAAUGGAACCAUGAGGGGCUUUCAGAUUCAGACAACUUUUAUUCCACAGCACUGUAAAAUAUCUUGUAACUGAAUAGAUGGCAUAAAAACAGCUAUGUGUCAGAGGUGCCAUAAAACCACGGACAAGACAGAGGAGAUCUAUGUAUGUAUAUAUAUAUACAUAUAUAUAUGGAGAGAGCAAGAGAGAGAGAGAGAUCCAUCUUAUAUACGGAGAGAGAUAAAGUCCUACGUUGGAUUAGCUGUCUGCAGAAUGUGAGCCAUUACCUCAGUUUCCCUCUAUCUCCUCUAGUCCUGAGGUCCC
rnacentral:lncRNA from 1 species